UACAGAGGAGCCAAGCGUUGUCCGGAUUGACUGGGCGUAAAGCGCACGCAGGCGGUGGUGCGCGUGGGGUGUGAAAUCUGGCCGCUUAACGGCCAGGCGCCAUCCCAUACGGCACGACUGGAGGGCUGCAGAGGUCGAUGGAAUUGCCGGUGUAGUGGUGAAAUUCGUAGAUAUUCGCAAGAACACCAGUGGCGAAGGCGGCUCACUGGCCCGAUACUGACGCUGAGGUGCGAAAGCGUGGGGAGCAAACAGG
rnacentral:rRNA from 1 species